UCACUUAUUAUCCAUUUUACCCUUGAGCUUACAAAUACUCAGCACUGAAAAUUCACUAAUUUCGUUCCAUCCUCGAAAUCUACGUCUCCCAAAGUCAGCGACUUGUCUCUCAGUUCUCACUCAAAUGGAUUACGAUUUUCCGGAUCGCGAUCCUCCUUCAUUCGAACGCACGGUACAUUUCAUAGAUCUGAAAAAAUCCAUCUCAUAGUUUCUGUUAUUGAUUUUACCAGAUCUGAUUUGAUGACUUAUAUAUUUUUAUUUUAGUUAUUUGUUGCUAUUUUUUAAGCUGUUGUACUUUGGAUCUUUAAUUUUAUCUGUUCGAUGUUUUCUUUAUUCUCUCUUUUCGAAAAUCCUUCGAUUUGAUUAUUUUAUUGCCCUUAUACCGUUGUUUGAACUGAAUACUAUUGUCAAUCUGAAUAUAUGACUUCGAAUUCUGAAAAUUUCAAAUCUUUUUAGCUCUAUUAUGGCUCUCCCUUCAAAUUCUACAAGUUGACAAGUUUAAACUUGUUUUGCAGAACUAAUUGUCUCUGUUAUUGAAUCUUUGAAUACUUGAUUGGAUGUAUCUAUUGGACAUAUAUCCGGAAAUUUUAAGUUCACAGUUCACCUAAUUGGUUAAUGCAUUUCAUUUUUCACCCAAAUAAAAUAGUAAAUCUAAUUGUACAAUGUUUUGAUGAUGCAUUACACUAUUACAAUAGUAGAUGUGUAUUUAUGAGGAAAGAGCUUGUGCAUUGCAAAUGUUGUCAUGGUUCCUCUAUGUUUAGUUAGAUAAUAAUUUAAUUGAAAUUGAAUCAUGCCACUGAUGUGGCCAAUAAAAUAAGUUAGUUAUGCUGGAUUGGACAGGAACCUCAGAAUUUCUGUUGCUUUAAUAUGAUUUUUUAAAACCUUUGUGUUCUUGAUUUGCCAGACAAGCAUGAUUUAGUACCUUUUUGAGGGUCCCUCUAAUUUGAUCCAUUUUAGAUGUAUCUCAAUGCUCCAAGUUUCUUGAUAAAUCACUUGUAUGUCUCUGUGUUUGUGUCUCAAUGCUGAGUUUCUUGAUCAAUCACUUAUAUGUCUCGGUGUUUCCUUUCAAGUGUGACAUCACGGGGUGAAAUGUUAUACUUUGGAAAAAUAUUAUUUUAAGUUUAAUAGAGUCAAAAUCCAAAAGAGGUAAUUGUUGAAUGUAUCAAGUUAUGAUUUAUGCUAACAACCUCAAUAACUGCUGAUUUAUAAUGACUGCAUUGAAGUAGAGAUCUAAAUAUUCACUUCUGUGGUUUUCUUUGCCGGUAUUGUCUUUAAUGGUUGCCAGCUUAUAAGUUGCUGGAUUUAAUACAUAAGCAUAUAUCAUCUGAAUGGUGAGCAGGGGAAGAUCGAUGACUCUGAAGUCCAAGGAUUCAACCCUGGAUUGGUCGUCCUCCUUGUUGUUGGUGGCCUACUUUUAACAUUUCUUGUCGGGAAUUAUGUACUCUAUACCUAUGCUCAGAAGACCCUUCCUCCAAGGAAAAAGAAGCCAAUCUCCAAGAAGAAGCUGAAGAGGGAUAAACUUAAGCAAGGUGUUGCUGCACCAGGAGAGUAGACAAUUUAGAGUGUUGUUUUCCUCUUCAAUGUUGAGGAAUUGUCUCCAGUGUCCUUCGAGUCCAGAACUUUUGUUUGCAAUGGUUACGUGUUCCUCCGGUGACUUCCUUUCCUUUAUUCUCAGCAUACCUAUAAAAUUUAGCUUGAGAAAUUAGGAAUUACCCCCUGAUCCCUAAAAUAGUAAAACAUUCUACUGGCUGGGAUUUAAGAAUAUUUCUCUUUAACGCAUGAUGAUUUGAGGAUUUUGCUCAAUCAUUGCAUUCAACCUUUUUUAAUAUAUCAGUAUUGUGG
rnacentral:lncRNA from 1 species